rnacentral:rRNA from 1 species
AGCGAACGCUGGCGGCAGGCUUAACACAUGCAAGUCGAGCGGGCACUUCGGUGUCAGCGGCAGACGGGUGAGUAACACGUGGGAACGUACCCUUCGGUUCGGAAUAACGCUGGGAAACUAGCGCUAAUACCGGAUACGCCCUUUUGGGGAAAGGUUUACUGCCGAAGGAUCGGCCCGCGUCUGAUUAGCUAGUUGGUGGGGUAAUGGCCUACCAAGGCGACGAUCAGUAGCUGGUCUGAGAGGAUGAUCAGCCACACUGGGACUGAGACACGGCCCAGACUCCUACGGGAGGCAGCAGUGGGGAAUAUUGGACAAUGGGCGCAAGCCUGAUCCAGCCAUGCCGCGUGAGUGAUGAAGGCCUUAGGGUUGUAAAGCUCUUUUGUCCGGGACGAUAAUGACGGUACCGGAAGAAUAAGCCCCAGCUAACUUCGUG